ensembl:lncRNA
UUUUUUUUGAACCAUGAUCUUCACAAGAGAAAGUAAAACUGCUAAUUUCAAAUUCCACUCCCAAAGUAUGAGCUCCUCCACCCUGAAACUCUUGGUUUCACUGGCCUUGGAGCCAUAAUCUUUAUUCUCCCAUGUCACAGACCACCACUGUCCAUGGCAAACAAUCUGCUAGGUCUUUCUCAGCCUCAUGAUUUCUAAUGCCAAGAUUCUCACCCAAGGACUGAAAUUCGACCCCCUCUCUCAUGUUCUUAAUGGGUCCCUAGGCGCUUUUAACUUAAUGAUUUCCUAGUCUGCAUCUCCACUAGUGAUAUCCACCCUCUACUCCAGAUUUUAAAUGCCCCUGUAUGUUACAAUCAUCUCAGACUUGAACUCUACCAAUGUAAACUUAACAACCUCCCAUAAAUGUGCCUUCUGAGCACCCUCUGAAAACACUACACUCUAUUUUUCUCUCUUUCUGGUUCAACAUUUUUGUGGCUUGGAUUUCACUGUUAAACAUGUAUAUUUCAUUUUUCUCUUUCAAUAAAAUAAAAACUGUAUAAAAAGGACACUUCUUAGAUUACUGCUACUAUCCACACAUCUAUAAAAAUUACCAGUGCCUAAAACUUCCCAAUUAACAUGUUAAAAGAAUACAUGAAUGCAUGACCAAAUGCCCAAAAGAAAAUAAUCUGUGAGAAUGGAGAAAAAGGAAGCCUACUGAGAAUCCAGAGAAAGUGACUAACCAAGAAAAAAUUCCAAGAGGAGGCAGGUAGGCCUUGGAUUUUUGUAAAGUCUGAGAAAAUAUUCAAGAAUUAACAGACAGGGGGACGUUUACAUGUGACAGCCAUAUUUAGAGACUGACUAAUGCAUAAGUAUGAUAUAUGCAGAAUAACUGUCCUAAAGUCUGAACUUGCGGAAACCACCGGUGACAGCGGUUCACAGCACAGCCAACAUCUGCUGUGUUCUCCUCUGUCCAGCAUGCACUGACUGACCUGGGAAACUCUGGUUUGGGGGUUCUUUUACAGUCCAUGGCUCUGCUCCUUGUUCCAACUUGACGAUCACCUCAGGUUUGGUAAAGCAAAGUCCUGUUGAUGAGAAAUAAUGUAAGAAUUUUUUUGUCAAGCUGGAGUUCCCAUCGUGGCACAGUGGGAAAGAAUCCAACUAGGAACUAUGAGGUUGUGGGUUCGACCCCUGGCCUUGCUCAGUGGGUUAAGGAUCUGGCAUUGACGCGAGCAGUGGUGUAGGUUGCAGACAUAUAGCUCUGAUUUGACCCCUAGACUGCGAACCUCAAUACGCCACAGGUACGGCCCUACAAUGCAAAAAAUAAAUAAAUAAAUAAAGAUACAACCUUAAAGUAUCCUCUAAAACACAAGCCAAAAAAUAAGCUUAUAGGUCACCCCAAUACAGGUAGUGUAGGUUGGUAUACAUUCCACCCUCCAAAAGUAUACAGUAGAUAAGCUGCUCACAUUUUACUAACAUUUUGUUUUAAAUAGGCAUCUCCUAUGGAAAUGUAGCAUGACACUGCUACUAACUAUAAGUGUAAAUACUUCAUACCACAAACUAUAAAUAUAAGUUAUGUAUCAUCAUUCCUGUAGUACCUACAAAUCCGUAACAGUGGGGAAAAAAGAUGGUAUUUAAUAAUACAAUAAAAAUAUCGUUAUCAAAAAAACGUAUAACCUUGAAUAGCCUGCCAAACAAUCUGCAUAUAUGGACUAGUUGAGAGAAAUGUACAGAAAGGUAUUUAAAGGACCUGCAGUUGAUUCAACCCUCCAGACAGUCCAAGUUUUAUCCAGGCAUCCGGUAGGGCAUUCUAAAAUCUGUCUGGGUCCACACUAUUUAACGAACCCCAGAAUAAUCUUAUGAAGCAAGUUCUGAUGCAGCACUGCAGAAUUCAUGAAGUGUUUACUUCCAGGCUGGCAAUGAAACACUGUCUACUCCAUCAUCUAUGUGACCAAUAAAGAAACUGUUUCAGAUUUCUGUGCCUGCAACUACUUGUGUUCCAAAAAGAAGUAGCAUGCUUUCUUCUAAG